rnacentral:rRNA from 1 species
AGCGAACGCUGGCGGCAGGCCUAACACAUGCAAGUCGAACGGAUCCUUCGGGAUUAGUGGCGGACGGGUGAGUAACACGUGGGAACGUGCCCUUUGGUUCGGAACAACUCAGGGAAACUUGAGCUAAUACCGGAUGUGCCCUUCGGGGGAAAGAUUUAUCGCCAUUGGAGCGGCCCGCGUCUGAUUAGCUAGUUGGUGAGGUAACGGCCCACCAAGGCGACGAUCAUUAGCUGGUCUGAGAGGAUGAUCAGCCACACUGGGACUGAGACACGGCCCAGACUCCUACGGGAGGCAGCAGUGGGGGAUCUUGCGCAAUGGGCGAAAGCCUGACGCAGCCAUGCCGCGUGAAUGAUGAAGGUCUUAGGAUUGUAAAAUUCUUUCAGCGGGGACGAUAAUGACGGUACCCGCAGAAGAAGCUCCGGCUAACUUCGUG